GUCCACGCCCUAAACGAUGUCUACUAGUUGUUGGUGGAGUAAAAUCCAUGAGUAACGCAGCUAACGCGUGAAGUAGACCGCCUGGGGAGUACGGUCGCAAGAUUAAAAACUCAAAAUGAAUUGACGGGGGCCCGCACAAGCGGUGGAUUAUGUGGAUUAAUUCGAUGCAACGCGAAAAAACCUUACCUGGCCUUGACAUGUACGGAACUUUCCAGAGAUGGAUUGGUGCUCGAAAGAGAACCGUAACACAGGUGCUGCAUGGCUGUCGU
rnacentral:rRNA from 1 species